CACAACUAUGACCUUUGGCACAGCUCUUUUUUUCCACUUAUUUUUCACACACAUUUUCAAUCUCAUUUGUAAUAUUUCAUAUAGCGUAUAAUGAACAAAGGGCAAUAUUCUCACUCUCUGCCUCACUAAUUUUUAACUCAUUCCCUGCCACUGCUGUCCAAAGAUGUCAUUCAGAAUCGAGCUAUUCCUUGCCAAUCCCAUCUAAAGACGGCAAUGGCUUUUUUUUUUUAACGGGGAUGAGUGGGGGAGGGUCUUGUGGAGUUUAUGUGUGAUCGUCAAGCCUCUGGAUAACUCCAAUGAGAAUGGCACCCUGUAGAGGGCAACAAUGCAUUGAGGUGAACAAGAGGAAGAAGAAGAAGAAGGCGGGGUGCAAGAGACGAUGAGAAGAGGCAAGUAUAAUGGCGGAAAAGAGAGAAGACAAAAUGAAAAAAAUCGAGAAAAAAAAAAGCUUUCGGUACUAGAAAUUUACUGCGCCAAGGCAAGAAAAAUAUUCCUGCGACCGACAGGAAUGACGCUUUAUUUAGUCAGGUGUGUCAAACAAAUUUUUUUCUCGGGGCGCAUUGUAGUUAUGAUUUCCCUCAGCCGGCCAUUAGAACAGUGAAAUCAUAUAAAUGUUUAAUCACCUAAUCAUAUUAUUACCAUUACACAAAAAAUUGAGGGCUAACUAGUUUUGAACUCAGAAGACAAGAAUAAUAGAUUGUUCAAGUAUUGUUUAAGUUACUGUAGAAGAAGGGUUUGGUUCCAGAAAAAAUGCAAUAUCUCAACAUAACUGUUAAUUAUUAUGACAAUUUGGAAUUUGGGUACAGAUUUUCGCAAAAAUCACAGAAGUUGACGAGCAUGAUUUGCUUUCGCGGACCACAUAGAAUAAUGUGGCGGGCCGCAUCUGGCCCCUAGGCCUUGAGUUUGACACCUAUGCUUAGCUCAUGCAAGGGAAUAAAGGAUGACAUUCUGAGCCGAUCGCUGUGUUGCAAAGCUAUCGCCCAAAAUGCUGGGGCGAGAUGCUCUCGGCACCUUGCCAGCUGAUCGUCUGCCGACCAGGAUUUGAGUACCGUAUUUUCACGACCAUAAGGCGCACCGUAUUAAAAGGCGCAGUCUCAGUUACGGGGUCUAUUUCUGUAUUUAACACAUACAUAAGGUGCACCGUAUUAUUGGGUGCAGGCAUGGUAAAACAUACGCUAGCUUAAAACAUACGGUAGCAUGCAUGCACACUAAAACAUAUGCUAGCAUGCAUGCUAGCAUAUGUUUUUAAAAAGGCAGCGGCAGCAAAACUGAGUUUGGUUGUACUUUAUUGAAGUAUUUAACGUUAUUUUUUGAUCAAUCCUCAUCCACAAAUCCAUCAAAGUCCUCAUCUUCUGUAUCCGAAAUGAACAGCUGGGCAAGUUCUCCAUCAAACAUGCCGGGUUCCCUCUCGUCAUUGUCGGAGUCAGUCUCGUUGCCAGGGGGGGGCUGUUCAGCAAUGAUGCUUCUCCCGGCUGUUCUUAGAUCAUUAAUCUAUUGCUCGAGUUGGUCUUCCAACUCGGGCCACCUCGCCUUGUUUCCGCGGAAACUCAGCAUUGUCUUCUUGACUUGGCGAAGCUCGUUUUCCUGCUUCCUCCACUUGCGAACCAUGGAUCCGUUGGUCUUGAAUUCUCUCACGGCUGCUCGAUUCCCAUGUUCCUCCGCGUAACUGAUAGCUUGCAGUUUAAACUGUGCUUCGUAAGCGUGUCUCUUCGUAGGUGCCAUUUUCGGGGGUCCUUGGCCAAACCGAUGUUGUUUUGCACAAUGCACAUACCAGCACUAUAUAUCUGCUGGGGGCGUGCCUUUAGCGUCUUCUUUCAUGCGCACCCUUCCCCCUUUAAUGUCUGCAUGCUGUCCUCAGUCACGUCCGCAUUUCUUCUCUAUAUAAGCAGCGUGUCGGCAGGAAAUUCUCCCAGUCAGUCAAGCGGCGCGCUCAUCAAAGCAACAAACAACAUUUACAGAUUUCGGAACUCGGUGCACACAUCAGGCGCCCGUCCAUUUUGGAGAAAAUUUAAGACUUUUAAGUGCGCCUUAUGGUCGUGAAAAUACGGUAAAUGGGAUCCGGAAUCGUCAGACGAGUGAACUCCCUCUGGAUCGCCUGGAAGCAGCAGAGCUUCAUCCGGAGCUUCCUCCGGCUGAUAAAUGGAGACAAAGGUAACUCAUUUGCAACUCUCGUUAGCUAUAUUUAGCGAACAAACAUGCUCCUCAAUCCUUGCUACAUAAAAAUAAUUUAGUCCCACUAGUUUACAUUACAAUGUAACAUCUGUUACCAGUACUGAUUUGAAUUUUCCAUUUCUAGCUCGUCCAUCUUGCAGUAAUGGAACACCUGCAAGGCGAACGUCAUUUAGGAUUGCAACGAAGAAAAGUUGUGCUUCGAGCAGAAGUAGGGACUGGUUUCAAGGACAAUGACAACCACACAAGAUCCCGUUCACCGCCACCUAAGAAUAAAAUCCAGAUGUGGAUAAAACGUUGCUAGAUUUUAUGCGCAAGGUAAUAAAAACGUGGACUAUUGAGCAAAAGGCAGAGGAGGAGAAUUACGAGCAAGAAAGUGCAAGUGUGGAGCCCCAUUUGUUCAUGGAUAUUCUGUACAUAGUUUUACAUGUAAAUAAAAUUUUAUGUCAAAAGUA